rnacentral:tRNA from 1 species
GCCCUGGUGGUGUAGCCUGGAUCAGCUCUUGCAAGAGCUGCAGCGGCUAUCAUGAAGCCCUGUCGAGGCUUCGACCCGGGUUCAAAUCCCGGCCAGGGCG